ensembl:lncRNA
GGGGGGGGGUGAGAGGAGAUGGACAGCUGUGUGGCCGGGCCCCCGGGGGGAGGGAGGAGAAAGCAUAGGGACUGGACUCCCCGGGACUACACACCGGUUUCUUGAUUGCCUGGCUGAAGAGCGAUGGGACCCCUCACCUCCUCAUUUCUCCCUCCAUGCUCCUUCACGAGACAAAUCAAUCAAAUCAACCAUCAGUUUUCUCCUUUGAGGAGGGCCAGAGCGCCCUCAAUCCCCCCUUUUCCUCCAUUCUUACCCCACUAGGGUCCCGGGGGCCAGAGCCCAGCGGUCGGGCCGAUGGGUACAUUACACUCCUGCUCCGGUCCCCCGGAGGACCCAGCCUCUUUAAAGUCCCACUGGCCCAGCCGGCCUGAGUGGAAUCAACCGUUAAUAUUUCAUACAGGGACUCAACAGCCCGACGUCACUUUCCCCACAACACACCAUUGCCCGGAGAGAGAUGACAACUGAGCAGGCCUAGUGACCCAUUAAAGGUUACGAGUCCAUUCUGUUGAAACCAGGGGAGAGUGGACUGGGUCAUAGCAUUGUGUAAGUGGAGCGCGGGGGGGGGGGGGGGGUUGUCUGGUUAAUGUAUUUGGUCAGGGUCUCGUAAAAAGACAUGUGGCAAGGAUCUUUUACAGACGCUUGUGAUACGUCACGGUCAAAUACGGUUUAUCCUCGUAGCUUGGUAACAACUAUUUCACAGCAAAUGAUCCUGGAGCAAAUAAUAAUAAAAAACAUGCAUUAAGGUCAUAAAUUAUGCUUUUACCCAUUUCUUUAAUAUGACGGAAUAAUAAUCGAAAGAUCCUUAACAUUAGAGCAAAUCACGCGAGCUAUUCAGUGACAUGUCAAUCUUAGAGUUCACAGUCUAAUCACAAAUUCUAAAUAAGUCGGAAGACUUUGUGACUAAACAUCACAGUUUCCACAGUGAUGUUUUCGUGUAGCCACCUGGUUUGUUUAGUACCAAAUGCCUGGGUCAUGGCCCUGCCACUCCAAAGCCUGUAUCUUGAUCCACUCCCCUAUUGCUCCCUGGCACAGAAGCACAGCUAGAAGGUGGCACUGCCAGGUGCAGCCCCACGUCAGGGGAAGCUGGCAUCACAUUUUCGAUUUUCCAAUGGUGACAUUGGUAGAUUCAUGAAUAUUGUAUGUCCCAUAAACAGGUUUUUCCUGUUAGCCUGGAGGAGGGAAAAAGUCCUCUCUUUUUCAACUGAUAGGUUUUGUUGCUUUACUUAUAUUGUUUUCUGUAUCAUAACUGUCUAUGGUUUUUGCAUAAAAUGCAUAAGGGUUUUGGGAUGUAAAUGGAAUUUUAUUCAUAUUUUGUCCAAAUACCUCUUGUAAUUUGUAUCAGAAUUCUUGUACAAUUUUUAUAUUAAAGAUUUAUCAGUCACUGGC